rnacentral:rRNA from 1 species
UUGAACGCUGGCGGCAUGCUCUACCCAUGCAAGUCGAACGGUAACAGGCCGCAAGGUGCUGACGAGUGGCGAACGGGUGAGUAAUGCAUCGGAACGUGCCCAGUCGUGGGGGAUAACUACUCGAAAGAGUAGCUAAUACCGCAUACGAUCUAUGGAUGAAAGCGGGGGACCGUAAGGCCUCGCGCGAUUGGAGCGGCCGAUGUCAGAUUAGGUAGUUGGUGGGGUAAAGGCUCACCAAGCCAACGAUCUGUAGCUGGUCUGAGAGGACGACCAGCCACACUGGGACUGAGACACGGCCCAGACUCCUACGGGAGGCAGCAGUGGGGAAUUUUGGACAAAGGGCGCAAGCCUGAUCCAGCAAUGCCGCGUGCAGGAAGAAGGCCUUCGGGUUGUAAACUGCUUUUGUACGGAACGAAACGGCUCUGGUUAAUACCCGGGGCUAAUGACGGUACCGUAAGAAUAAGCACCGGCUAACUACGUG